GUCCUGUGUGGGAUGAUGUUGUCCUCUGUUUCUUUGUGUUUUAUUUAUAUUUACAGAUGCAUAUGAAAUUCCAUCAGCUUCAUUCUCCUGAAACAGUAGAGGACACUGUUGUGUUUCCUCCUGGAUGAACUUUCACUGAUGAUCCUUCAGUGACAAUCAUUAA
rnacentral:lncRNA from 1 species